AUUGAACGCUGGCGGCAGGCCUAACACAUGCAAGUCGAACGAGUGGCGGACGGGUGAGUAAUGUCUGGGAAACUGCCUGAUGGAGGGGGAUAACUACUGGAAACGGUAGCUAAUACCGCAUACCCUCGGAUGUGCCCAGAUGGGAUUAGCUAGUCGGUGGGGUAAAGGAUCACCUAGGCGACGAUCCCUAGCUGGUCGGAUAGGAUGACCAGCCAAACUGGAACUGAGACACGGUCCAGAUUCCGACGGGAGGCAGCAGUGGGGAAUAUUGCACAAUGGGCGCAAGCCUGAUGCAGCCAUGCCGCGUGUAUGAAGAAGGCCUUCGGGUUGUAAAGUACUUUCAGCGGGGAGGCGUUACCCGCAGAAGAAGCACCGGCUAACUCCGUGCCAGCAGCCGCGGUAUAC
rnacentral:rRNA from 1 species